CUCCUAAAUUGGGUCCAAGCUUGCCACCAACACCUAUAUGAUAAGUUAAGAAGUAUCUUGAUCCGGUGUAGCAAGUUAAAAGCCACAGUGGCACUAGUGUAGAUGAACAUCAAAAGAGAAAAUACCCCCUACACGCAUAUGAGUUGCACAUCCUUUUUGUUCCGUUCUUCUUUUAUUUUCCUUUUUUUCUUCCCUUCUCCUAA
rnacentral:lncRNA from 1 species